rnacentral:rRNA from 1 species
AACAGGAUUAGAUACCCUGGUAGUCCACGCCCUAAACGAUGUCUACUAGUUGUCGGGUUUUAAUUAACUUGGUAACGCAGCUAACGCGUGAAGUAGACCGCCUGGGGAGUACGGUCGCAAGAUUAAAACUCAAAGGAAUUGACGGGGACCCGCACAAGCGGUGGAUGAUGUGGAUUAAUUCGAUGCAACGCGAAAAACCUUACCUACCCUUGACAUGUACGGAAGCCACGAGAGAUCGAGGUGUGCUCGAAAGAGAGCCGUAACACAGGUGCUGCAUGGCUGUCGUCAGCUCGUGUCGUGAGAUGUUGGGUUAAGUCCCGCAACGAGCGCAACCCUUGUCAUUAGUUGCUACGAAAGAGCACUCUAAUGAGACUGCCGGUGACAAACCGGAGGAAGGUGGGGAUGACGUCAAGUCCUCAUGGCCCUUAUGGGUAGGGCUUCACACGUCAUACAAUGGUACAUACAGAGGGCCGCCAACCCGCGAGGGGGAGCUAAUCCCAGAAAGUGUAUCGUAGUCCGGAUUGUAGUCUGCAACUCGACUGCAUGAAGUUGGAAUCGCUAGUAAUCGCGGAUCAGCAUGUCGCGGUGAAUACGUUCCCGGGUCUUGUACACACCGCCCGUCACACCAUGGGAGCGGGUUUUACCAGAAGUAGGUAGCUUAACCGUAAGGAGGGCGCUUACCACGGUAGGAUUCGUGACUGGGGUGAAGUCGUAACAAGGUAACC